CGUACACUCCUGCGGGAGGCAGCAGUGGGGAAUAUUGGACAAUGGGCGCAAGCCUGAUCCAGCCAUGCCGCGUGAGUGAUGAAGGCCCUAGGGUUGUAAAGCUCUUUCACCGGUGAAGAUAAUGACGGUAACCGGAGAAGAAGCCCCGGCUAACUUCGUGCCAGCAGCCGCGGUAAUACGAAGGGGGCUAGCGUUGUUCGGAUUUACUGGGCGUAAAGCGCACGUAGGCGGACUAUUAAGUCAGGGGUGAAAUCCCGGGGCUCAACCCCGGAACGGCCUUUGAUACUGGUAGUCUUGAGUUCGAGAGAGGUGAGUGGAAUUCCGAGUGUAGAGGUGAAAUUCGUAGAUAUUCGGAGGAACACCAGUGGCGAAGGCGGCUCACUGGCUCGAUACUGACGCUGAGGUGCGAAAGCGUGGGGAGCAAACAGGAUUAGAAACCCCGGUAGUCCCAUG
rnacentral:rRNA from 1 species